UACGUAGGAGACGAGCGUUGUCCGGAAUCACUGGGCGUAAAGCGCGCGUAGGCGGUUUGAUAAGUCGAUUGUGAAAUCCCCGGGCUCAACCUGGGAAUUGCAGUCGAGACUGUCAGACUAGAGUGUGGGAGAGGGUGGUGGAAUUCCCGGUGUAGCGGUGAAAUGCGUAGAUAUCGGGAGGAACAUCAGUGGCGAAGGCGACCGCCUGGCCCAACACUGACGCUGAGGUGCGAAAGCGUGGGUAGCAAACAGG
rnacentral:rRNA from 1 species